GAGUAACGCGUGGGUAACCUGCCUCAUACAGGGGGAUAACAGUUAGAAAUGACUGCUAAUACCGCAUAAGCGCACAGUGCUGCAUGGCACAGUGUGAAAAACUCCGGUGGUGUGAGAUGGACCCGCGUCUGAUUAGCCAGUUGGCGGGGUAACGGCCCACCAAAGCGACGAUCAGUAGUCGGCCUGAGAGGGUGAACGGCCACAUUGGGACUGAGACACGGCCCAAACUCCUACGGGAGGCAGCAUG
rnacentral:rRNA from 1 species